GAGGAAUCUUGCACAAUGGGCGCAAGCCUGAUGCAGCGACGCCGCGUGGAGGAUGAAGGUUUUCGGAUCGUAAACUCCUGUUAAGUGGGAAGAAAUGUCUGUUCCUAAUAUGAGCAGAUAAUGACGGUACCAUUAGAGAAAGCACCGGCUAACUUCGUGCCAGCAGCCGCGGUAAUACGAGGGGUGCAAGCGUUAUUCGGAAUCAUUGGGCGUACAGGGCGCGUAGACGGUGUAUUAAGUCAACUGUUAAAUUCCCCGGCCUAACUGGGGGUCAGCAGUAGAUACUGAUGUGCUAGAGGGUGGAAGAGAGAAGUGGAAUUCUCGGAGUAGCGGUAAAAUGCGUAGAUCUCGAGAGGAACACCGAUGGCGAAGGCAGCUUCUUGGUCCAUACCUGACGUUGAGGCGCGAAAGCGUGGGGAGCAAACA
rnacentral:rRNA from 1 species